rnacentral:rRNA from 1 species
AGCGAACGUUUGCGGCGGGCUUAACACAUGCAAGUCGAACGAGAAUCCCUUCGGGGAGGAAAGUGGCGCACGGGUGCGUAACACGUGGAUAACCAACCCAUUGGUUUGGGACAACACCGGGAAACUGGUGCUAAUACCAGAUGUGUCGCAGCUGUCUUCAGGCGGUUGCGAGAAAGGCCCGCAAGGGUCGCCAACGGACGGGUCCGCGUCCCAUCAGCUAGUUGGUGAGGUAAUGGCUCACCAAGGCAAAGACGGGUAGCUGGUCUGAGAGGAUGAUCAGCCACACUGGAACUGAGACACGGUCCAGACUCCUACGGGAGGCAGCAGUGGGGAAUAUUGCGCAAUGGGCGAAAGCCUGACGCAGCCACGCCGCGUGAGCGAUGAAGGUCUUCGGAGUCGUAAAGACUCUGU